CGACGUGACUCUCGUUUCUCAGGAAAUCGAAGGAGAAACUCAGAGGAAAUGAAACUGGAAGACUGUUGGGGCCAGUCAUUACAACACACACACACACACACACUCACACACACACACACACACACACUCUCUCUCACACACACACGCACACGCACACACUCCCACACAUGCACACACACUCACACACACACACACACACACACACACACACACACACACGAGGCAGACUGAGGGUUUCAAAUAAUAAAAUAUAAAAUACAUAUAUCAAACUACUAGUAAACUUCUGACUCUACAAAAUGUCUGCAGAUGAAUUGAUGAAAAUGGUUCCUCGGAUUCUGUCCGACCACGUUUGAACCGUCUGUUCUCUUGGUACAGUUCACACCGACAGGAACCAGAAACGGGUCGUUUUGUCGUUUUUAGCUAAGAAAAACAAAAAGAAGAAAUCAGCUCGAUUUCUUGUUUCACUUUUCUUACUGAUGAACAUGUACACGACCCGAUGUUUGAUUUUCAUCGGUGGGCGGGUCUUCAGUGCCCCCUUGCUUCUGAUUGGCUAUGUAUGCGCUGUACUCUUCAAAAUAAAAGUGCUACUUCCUGCCUUCAGACGGUGCAAUGUCACUCAAAUCCUUUAAGUGAAGAUAACGAUACAAUGCCAAAGGACUAUAUUACCAUUUCUAUCAUUUGACUUACUGUUAGUCAUAACUGCAUGGAGGCUCUGUGUGUCACUAGGGCUGCUGCACCCCGACUUCCAUCGGCUGAGGAUGGUGAUUUUAUUAUUACGGAAUCUUUUCAUACAUUGUUCUACAACUAAAACACUUUGGUGUGUAUCAAACACAAGGAAAGUGUUUUUAAAACAGUUUGAUUUUUAAAAAAAAGAAGGAAGAAAGAGGCCAGAGUCCUGUCAUCCAGUCCCGAACACCAACCGGUUCUGAUGACGUCACCUGUAGGAAGUCCAAACUGCCCUGAUAUUUUUCAAGGCUCUUAUGAAGACUCCGGUCUACCCUCAACCCAGAGAACGACAAGUGCAUUCAUAAAUGAAAAAGUUAUUAUGUUAUCUGACUUGAUAUGUCACAUGUGUCUCACACAGUCAUGUAAAUGAUUCAAUUUUCACCAUAGGCCAUAUGGAUGUUCUCAAGACAGGUGUGACCUAUGCCUGCUCUCAUAGAUAUAUUCAUUUAUCUUCCUUUGAAUGUUUGUCUAUCUCUCUUCCCUUCUUUCCUCAUACAGUAUCCCUUGGCUGGCAGACAGGCGACAGUUCUGAAGAGGGCGUUCCUGCGAUUAAACCAAUCUCGCAUGGCAAUAUUGCCCAGUGUGUGUGAGUGUGUGUGUGUGUGUGUGUGUGUAUGUGUGUAUGUGUUUGUGUGUGUAGAUGAUGGGGGGUUUGUUCUAUUUUAAUAUUCUAAAGGCAGUUCUUUAUGUUUAUGUUUAUUUUUUCAGUUACUGAUUUCAUUAAUAAAUGUUUUUUCUUCA